rnacentral:lncRNA from 1 species
GCCCGUGCCCGUUGCCAUCCCUAAGCACAAACCAACCCGCUAUGCUCGUGGUUCCAUGGAAUGUACAAGAUCCUCUUCCUCUUGAGCAAGUUGAUGUUGAUAAUAUUUGUAGUCAACACAUUUUUCAUCAAAUAAAACUGUAUUUAAAACACACAGAAGAAUUACAUAAGCUAGAAACUCAUAACCAUAAGUAGAUGAUCCCGAUGAUUUACAAC